UGGGCAUAAUGAUGAUAAUUGGUUUUCUGAAGUUUGAUUGAUUGAAUAAACUAACCUCCUACUCAUUCUGA